CGGUCCAGACUCCUACGGGAGGCAGCAGUAGGGAAUCUUCCGCAAUGGGCGAAAGCCUGACGGAGCAACGCCGCGUGAGUGAUGAAGGUCUUCGGAUCGUAAAGCUUCUGUUGUUAGGGAAGAACAAAUGUGUAAGUAACUGUGCACAUCUUGACGGUACCUAACCAGAAAGCCACGGCUAACUACGUGCCAGCAGCCGCGGUAA
rnacentral:rRNA from 1 species